AUGAUGAACAGCCACUCAAUCGAUGAGAAGCCAUUUCGUCGUGAGGUCAAUAGUCUCAUGAAAGUUAACCAUAUAAAUACAGUUCGGUUCCUUGGCUUCUGUUCUAACACAGAGCAUAAAGCUAUACAAAUUAGCGGAUCGGAAGAAUAUAUUUUUGCCGAGAUAAGACAGCGAUUGCUCUGUUUUGAGUAUAUCAGCAAUGGAGGCCUUGAUAAACAUAUUACGGAUGAAUUGAGGGGACUUGAAUGGAGCACAAGGUUUGACAUAAUUAAAGGAAUCUGUGAGGGCUUGCAACACCUUCACAAGGAAAAUGGCAUAAUUCAUAUGGACCUCAAGCCAACCAAUAUACUACUAGAUGAUCAAAUGGUACCAAAGUUCACUGAUUUUGGCCUUUUGAGACUCGAAGAAAACUCAUAA
rnacentral:rRNA from 1 species